rnacentral:rRNA from 1 species
AUCGCAAGACCUCGCGCGAUUGGAGCGGCCGAUAUCAGAUUAGGUAGUUGGUGAGGUAAAGGCUCACCAAGCCGACGAUCUGUAGCUGGUCUGAGAGGACGACCAGCCACACUGGGACUGAGACACGGCCCAGACUCCUACGGGAGGCAGCAGUGGGGAAUUUUGGACAAUGGGCGCAAGCCUGAUCCAGCAAUGCCGCGUGCAGGAUGAAGGCCUUCGGGUUGUAAACUGCUUUUGUACGGAACGAAACGGUGAGCUCUAAUACAGUUUGCUAAUGACGGUACCGUAAGAAUAAGCACCGGCUAACUACGUG